rnacentral:tRNA from 1 species
UAUAUUUUAGUGUGUAUGCAUAAAAGAUUUUGAUUCUUUUGGAUUUAAUUAAUAAUUAAAAAAUAUAA